rnacentral:lncRNA from 1 species
UCGCGGCGCCUGGUGGGUGGCGACAUUCCUCUGUAGCCUGCACGCUCCGCGAGAGCGGCUGCAGGCGUUGGACAUUCACCGCGGACUGCGCGAUCGUGUGUUGUUGACUCCAGGCGACAGGGCUGCUGUGCUGUAGGCGAACUUGUGCCCGAGAGCUCUUUCUGCACAGGGUCGAGAAGGUCUAUGCUGGUAGUGGAGGACUGUAAAGUAUGUUUAUUGUCUUUGCACAGCCUGAGGUUGCUGACUCUGGCAAUUUGGUAAAAGAAAGAAAGAAAGAAAAAAAAAAAAUCCCAGCAUGAAUAGCAGAAGAGGCUUUGGAGGAGUUACUUCACCGAAACCUGAAACUUGGGAAACUCCAUUUUGAAAAUGCCAGAGUGCCCAUCCCAAAUAUUAUUGAAGACGUUGAAGUCAGGUUCAAGGACAUUUGUCUCUCUUCUUUCUUCAAACGAUGGUGGCAAGACAUAAUAUUUGACUGGAUUGGAGAAUUGGAAGUUUUUCUCCUGGACAGCUGUCAAACCUGAAGUAGAACACAAGCAGUGGAGGAUCUCUAAAGGACCUUAAAGGAAAAGACUUUUAGGGGUGAGUCCCAAAAACUCUUCCCAUGGGAUCAAACCUCUCUUUCUUCCACUUUUCUGGGAAAUGAAAAUCCAAAGUUUAAAUAAAUAAUGACAAACAAUAAAAACAAAAACAACCAAAUAAUAAUAAUAAUGUUCACCAGGUAGGAUGGAUAUCUUUGCCCAUUUUAGGCUGCUAUAACAAAAUACUACAAAGUGGGUGGCUUAUAGACAAUAACAAUUUAUUUCCCCCAAAUUCUGAAAGCUGGGAAUCUGCGAUGGAGGCACAGUAGAUUCUGACCUGUGGGGGCCCACUUCCUGGUUUAUAGAGUGAUGGCUGUCUUCUCACCGUGUUCUCAAAUGACGGAAGAGGGAAACAAGCUCUCCAGAGCCUCUUCUAAGGACACUAACCCUAUUUAUGAGGGCUCCACCCGCAUGACCUGAUUAAACCUAAACACCUUCCAAAGAUCUCACCACCUAAUACCAUCAUAUUAGGGUAUAGAGCUUCAACAUAUGAAUUUGGGGAGCAUUUGUCCAUAACAAAUGUUCCAUGCGUGGUCGGUGAGUGCAAUAAUGGACGGAAGGAAUGAUUGGUUGCAAGGAAGCUUGAAUGAGUGUCUUAGUGAUCUUAGUGGUAUGCUGAUUAAAUGAAUUAAAAUUCCUGAAAUACUUGUGCUCAAAAAUAUUAGUCAUUGAUUGACAUUAUAUUCUUUAAUAGCAUUGACAGGAGGCACUAUACCAAAAGAUACACUAGAGAAGAAGUGUUUAUCUACUUCUAUGAUCUUUACAUCUUUAAUAGUUUCACAUUCGUACAUUCCUAAAUAGAAGUUACUUAUCAUUUCAUGAUUAGUUCCUACUUUUCCACUAGACUUUAGAUUAAAUAUUCUUUCUUCAGAGAAGCCCUCCUGUUCACUAGGCUAAAUAAGUCACCACUGAUAUUAUAUUAUACCAUUCUACCCAUUUCCUUUGUGGCACUCAUUAUGAUUUUUAAUUAUUGUAUUUUCUAACUUGUUUAUUAUUCCUAUUAGGAUAUAACCAAAAAAAAGUCUGUCUUCUUCGUUUCAUUUUCAAUUCUUAGUCCAGUCCUUGAUAAAAAGUAGUUGUUCAGUAAAUUUUCUGGAUGAAUGGAAGUCUAGAUCAGUUGAUUGAUGAAAAGAUGAAUGAAUGUAUAGAUGGAUGCAUACAUAUGUAUAGUUAUUUAAGUCGAUGGGAGGAUGGGUGGCUCAAUGGUAUAAAUGAAUAAUUGGAUGGACAAGGAAGCUGAUGUUCCAUAAAUAUUUUCUGCAUAUGCAGAUGCGUGGUCGGUGAGUGCAAUAAUGGAAUAAUGAUUGGUUGCAAGGAAGCUUGAAUGAGUGUCUUAGUGGCUUAUUGAAUCUCAGCUCCGCUCAGCCAGGGGCGCUGCAGGGCCACUCACUUAGCCGCCGCUCUAGGCUGCCCUCGCGCGCGCAGCCGCAGUUCCGCCGGCACUGCGGGGCGUAGAGAGCGUCGCGUAACUGCUGCGGGAUGCUUCUCAGCACUUUUCUGCACCUGGGUGCAUUCCCUUCGGUCGCUCCGAGUGAGUCCCUAAGGGUGCGCGCUCCAGGCGUCAUCUGUGCGAGGACCCCAGGUGGCCUCCAGGAGUCCCUGUCAACCCCGGGAAACCGAGGCCCGGGGGGCGGAGCAGCCGCCGGGGUCAGCGCUAAGCAGGGGGUCCAUCCUGCGCGCAGGGCGGGGGGCCUCCCGGGAAGAGGCCCUCGGUGGGCAGCGGGCUCCCUCGGCCGCCCCAAGCUGACCGACUCUGAGCCGACGUCAGAGGCGCGCGCGGCCUCGGCUCGGUGUCGGUCUGCGCCCGGCCAGUGGCGCGCCGGUGGGCCCGGAGCCGGGCGGAAGGCGCGCAGAGCCUCGGGGUUUUUUUUGUUUUGUUUUGUUUUUGUUUUUAAUAUUUACUUUUUAGGUUUCGGUGGUCACAACAUCUUUAUUUUAUUUUUAUGUGGUGCUGAGGAUCGAACCCAGCGCCCCGCGCAUGCCAGGCGAGCGCGCUACCGCUUGAGCCACAUCCCCAGCCUGCCCCGGGGUUUUUCACACCCGGUUCUCCAACUCAUGGCAUUCAAAGACCCAAAGUCUCUGGUCCGUCGUCUCAUAGGAUCAAUCUUUGUGUCACGUCGUAGGAACGAUGAACAUUCCCCUCGACAACUUUUGAAAGCAAGAGCUAAAACCCAUUUUGAAGACUGGUUGGUUGAAGUUUAAGUUAAGGACACUCUAAGGGCCCAGUGGGGCAGCGUCUGGACUCGCGUCCUUGCUUCGCACUGAAAGCCCUUUCCCCGUGCUUUUUUCUGCCUAGGCCUCGCUGCUGUGCGCCUCUCUUGCAGACAGAUGACAGCUCUUCCUUGGACGUUUUCACUGGUUCUGCAACACCCAGUGUCCCCUUCUCUCCGCACUCCCCGGUGGGCGCCCAGUGUCCAGGGGGAGGAUGUCCCUGGGUAAGUGUUGCUACUCAUGAGCACCUGGAAAUGGGGGGUGCCUCCUAUAUUGCCUUUUGUGGACAGGAGUAGAGGGGAAGGUGAUGGAGCUCUACCACGUUCUGAAAACGGUGUGGCAAAGCCUGUGUGCAGAUACCUGUGUAGGUAUUGGGGUGGGGUACAUGGCUGAGUUUGAGGACCAGAAAGACCUGGGUAGAUCCUGGCUAAGUUUCCUCAUUUUCCUGAGCUUUACUUUCUGUAAAGUAGGGAAGCCGCCAAAGCUCUGGGGGGCGAAGGGUUUGACUGCUUUUGUUUUGCUUUUGAGCCUUUAUGUCUGGCUACAUGUAGAUGCACAGUAAUUGGGUGGAUGAGUGAAUGAAUAAUUUAGGCGUUUUGACCAGAAGUUGGUCUUCCCAUGAACUUUUUUUCAAUACUGUGCAUUAAACCCAGGGUCUUGUACACUGAGCUAUAUACCAGGCUCUUUUCAUUUUUUAUUUUGAGACAUGGUCUUGCAAAGUUGUCCAGACUUGCCUUAAACUUGACAUCUCCUGCCUAAGCCUCCCAAGUCAUCAGGAAUUACUGGCAUAUGGCACCAUAUCCAGCUUUUCCUGUGGACUCUUUUGAUGGGGCAGGUGAAGCUUAUGUUGGAAGAGAUAACUGCAUAGUGCUUAGGGUUAUUUCAGCUUCACACUUAGACAGUCAGCAAGAAUUUAUCCAUUUGAGUCUCUUUGGCAGAAGAUGGGUCCCAGGUGAUGAGGGAACCUUCUAGAACCUCUACAGUGUUAUCAGAGUUUGCACAAAAAUGAUCUGAAAAGUUCUCUAUGGAAGAUGAUUAUUUGCCCCUGUGGAAUUGUCAACUUCUUUCCUUGUCCAUGAGGAAAUGAUGUAGUUCAUAGAUUAGUACAACAGCCCACAUUUGUUAAACAGCUAGUUACUGUGCUAGAAGCUCUCCAUAUGCUUACAAGGAUGAGUUUGACUAGGUGACAUUUAGGUGAUUCAUCUGGUACUUCUUGUUUAUUGGAAAGGUGGUACCUUAGUGUAGAGGGGCCUGUGAGAAGUGUCUCCAUCCUGCCAGAAAACAGCUGGAUGAGAGUGCUCCAAAGAUGAGGUCUGUCCCCUGGAGGUCUGGGGCUUUGGUUCCCCAGGCAUCACAUAUUCUGGGAAACAGAUGGAAGUGAGAUGAAAGUGGAUUCUUGCUGGCUCCCAGUUUUAUCCUUCCUGGGGUUUUUGAUAUGCAUCUGGUUGUUGCUCUUCCUGCUUGGGUUCAGAAUCUUCAGGGAUCCCUUCUUUGGUGUAUUGGUAGCAGAACAUUUACAUGAACAGCAGGAAGGGUUUUGGUAUCAUGCUAAUCUGUACCCACAUCUCAGUUGCUUCACUUCCGCCUCCUAUCUUUGGGACCUUCUCUUAUCUUCAGUUUAGUUCCCCAGAAAGCAGGAAUACAGUGAGCCAGUUGUUUGAGGAGCACAAGUCCCUGUCUUUCACAACCUAAGAACUCCAUCGGUUUUCUUUAGAGGUGUCUUCCCUUUGCCUUACCUAUCUGGGUCAUGAUGAAGGAAUUUUUGUAGUAUUAGAAACAAUUGCUGGGUCCUUGUGCUCAGCUGGGCUGGCUGCUCCUGGCUUCUGCCUUAGUCUCCUUUUAUAGCAAGCCUUCUGUCCUUUUCUGCCCCUGCAUUCGUAAGUGAUCAUGGGGUGUUCAUGUCAUGGUCUUUGGUAGUGCAGGCAGAGGAAAUGUGGAAAGAACUGUCCUGUAUUUGGAAGGUUUUACCCUGGCCUUCUGCUUCUGGCAGCUUUCCCACACUCCUUCUCAGUUUUGCUCAUACCUUGGACUCCAGGCAUUGGCAGCUGCAGUGUGUGUGUUACUACUGCUAUUGGGGCUUUCAUUUCCUGCCCCUUCUUUUGGGAACAGUCUAUGGGUGUUGUUGAAGUUCCUUUCAGCAGCCAGUAGAGUCACUGCCAGGCAGCCCGGCACACUCCCACAAACCUGCUUUGGCAUUCAUUUCAGCCUGUUGCUGGUUACAUAGUAAGUAUUGAUUGCCUUGCCUUUGACCAUCUACUGCCUCCCUCUUUAGAGUUAACUCUUAUUUGUGAAGAAAUGGUGUGCUCGCCAACAUUUUUAGGAUGCUUAGUGUCUGGUAGCUACUGUGCCAAACCAUUUCUUGGUGCUUACCAUGCCCUACUGUGAGCAAUGACACCUGGGUGCCCAUCAGUGCUCCUUAUCUCUUGCAGAUGAGUCCACUGUGUACAGAGGCACCAUGGGAGUUGUCAUUGUCAGGAACAUUCUACACCCCAGGAAUCUUGAGGUAAGAUUUCUGGUCUCUUGUAUCGGAUACAGCCCUGUUCCCAGGGGCUCUGGGUGAUGAUGUAGGGGAGCUGAGAGGUGAGAUAAAGGUGGUACCAUGGGUCCCCAAAUCUACCACCCAACCAACCAAUUCUAGAUCACACCUGACCCUUCACAUACCUUCAGUGGCUGCUGCAGGGGAAAGCCUCCAAGGUCCCACUUGUGGAAUGAGAGGUCUCUGGGACAUCUGCCCUCUCUACCUGGGAACCAGCAAUAGCAUACUGUAAUGAUAAAUGGGUGGCAUGAGAAUCCCUUCUGCCGCUGUCUCAGGCACUGUACCACUGAGCUAUACCUCCAUCCCUUUUUAAUUUUGAGAUAGAGACUUACUAAGUUGCUAAGGCUGGCCUUGAACUUAGGAUCCUCCUUGCCCCAGCCUUCCAAAUUGCUAGGAUUACAGGCAUGCAUCUCUGCAUCAAACAGAACCUAAUUUUUUUUAUUUGAAAAAAUGAAGUGGUGACAGAGUUGACUUUUGUUGUACUUGAAACCCCAUGAUUCUUACCAUUACAACCCUAACAUUUUUCCACUGUUUAUGUCCAAAGUGACUUCUCUUUGAUUCUCCUGGGCAAGGAGUUUGUAUGGGGUUUCUCUAGAAAAGGAGGGUCAUGGUUGGUUCCUGUGCAUGGCUGGCUGGGCUGUUUUCAUGAAUUUUCCCUGUACUAUGCCAUAGGCUACUGGCAUCUGCUUCUCUUCCUGGACCUGUCUCUGCCUGUGUGUGUACCUGCAUUCAAAAGUGAUCACGGGCUGCCUGUGCUCUGAUCAUCCAUAUUGCAGGGAGAGGAAUUGCUGAAAGCCAUUUCCCGUGUUUGGAGGGUCCAGUCUGUCCCUCUCAAAUGCUGGUGCUUUCACACACUCUCACUUCUUUCCUGCCAACAUAUUCUGAUCUCAGGGAUGCUGGGGGCCGCUGAAUGAGAGUCAGUGAUGGCAGACAUUAUGGCUUAGCCUCCUGUAAUCAGAGUCCAAACUACAUCUGCAUCAAGGUUUAGAUACUUCAGGUGUUCAAAGGAACCAGGAUGAAUGAUGUAUAAUGAAUAAGUGUAAUACUAAAUGAUACGUGUUUGUGGCCACAGAAUUUUCAAAGAGAAGCAGUCUUUUGUAAGUGUAAGGCUAGGCAGACAGUGUGCUGGGCAGUAGGAACAUACCCCAGGGAGUAGGGAGCAGCAUGAGGAAGACUUAGAGGUUGAGGUGAGCGAAAGCUCCUGUCCCACCGAGGAGACAGAUGUACAGGCCAGUAGUGAUAGCAGGGAGGGAUAGACUUUUUGAUUGUUCUCUAGUAUUGAGGUUCCUUUUUCAUUUGGUGUGAAAAAAACCUGGCAGCUCAUAUCUAAUGGAUUGGGUACAUUCUCAUUGAUGUCAGCAUAAAGAAAAAUGGGGUAACCAUUUAGCCAUUGGAAACCAAACACUUGGGGUAGGGAUAAGGAUGUAGCUAGUGUAGAGCACUUGCCUAGUAUAUGUGAGAUCCUGGGUUCCAUCUCUAUCCACCACCAAAAGAAAACAAAAAAAGAAAAAGCACUUCAUUAACCUCCCCUUUCUGUGGCCCUCUCCUCACUCUAGGGAUGCUUCCUUGGAUCUGGAGAUUGUGGAAGGAAGGCCCAAGGGAUGGAGGCACUGACCCUCUCAGGAUGGUGACAUGGGGUGCCAGCUCUCUUUAUGUUGAUUUAUUGUCAAGAAGCCAAGUCAACCUGUGUUUCUGAGAUUGAGAUAGAAGUUCCAAGCCGCUGGGCUGGACUAACUUUCUCUUGGUCUGUGGUGUUGAUUGUGGACACUGGCACAGCAGAAAGUGAAGUGUGAUGUUGCCACGUGACACAUUGCCAGACCUUGCCACUGUUGCCUCAGCACAACGUGGAAACUUUUACUCUGUACGAUCAGGGCAAGGAAAGCCCUGGAUUCUGGGGACUUGGGGUUCAUAGGUGGAAACCCUUCAGCUGGCUCUGCCUCUCCUCAGCAGUGCCACGGAUCCCUGGACGGGAAGACUGGUCUCCAUCUCAUGUGUGGCCAGCUUCUGUGUCUUCUUUCCUAUUCCUGUUUUAACUGUUUAGAUCUAAAAAAAUGCUAAUGACGUUUUCUAUGCUGUGUCCUUGUCCUUUUACCUCAAUAAAUUUUGAAAUAUGCCCU